rnacentral:piRNA from 1 species
UCCAACACAGAUGAGCAAGGGGUGUGGU